rnacentral:rRNA from 1 species
GACGAACCGUGCGAACGUUGUUCGGAUUCACUGGGCUUAAAGGGCGCGUAGGCGGACGGUCAAGUCAGGGGUGAAAUCUUUCAGCUCAACUGGAAAAGUGCCUUUGAUACUGAUCGUCUCGAGGGAGGUAGGGGCAUGUGGAACUUCCGGUGGAGCGGUGAAAUUCGUAGAUAUUCGCAAGAACACCAGUGGCGAAGGCGGCUCACUGGCCCGGUACUGACGCUGAGGUGCGAAAGCGUGGGAGCAAACAGG